GAAAAAGUAAAUGAAAUUCAGAAAGGUAAUUGAAAAUGUGGAUUUUUAAGAUUGCCCUGCUGAUAAAAAAGAUAAAAAUAUAAUAAUUAUAGAUAACAAUCAAAGUACAUAUUUUAAGCAUCGUCUAAAUAAAUUAUAUAUUGACUAAUUUAUGCCCCACACAAUGGUGACUAUUACUAUCCACAUUUUGUAGACAGGGAGAGUGAUGCACAGAGCCAUGAGAUGACUUCCUCCCGCUUGCCCAGCUGUUGAGAUGGCAAAGACUGGAGUCCUCAGAGAGUGGUUCUUGGUCAUACUGCUUCUUGGGAAAACAGAAAGCCAAGUGCUGAAUUUCAGUGAAGUGUUUUGUUAAAGGAGUGGCUCGUUUAUUUACUGCUAUAUAACUAGUUGGCAUGUUUUCCACAUUAGCCAGACAAAAAAAG
rnacentral:lncRNA from 1 species